UAUUUAUUUAUUGUUUAUUUAUAUUAGGUCGUAAUUAUGACGACGCCUUGACAGAUGAGAGGAUAAAAUAGAUCAAAGUUUGUCAGCAAUACUUAUUUCAUGCGGAUUACCUAACUAUGCUGCAGGAGAAAGCUUUUUCUAUAUUUAUAAAAUAUAUGUUACUAGAUUUUUUUUAACUCUCUGCCUUUGUUAUUUUACUAUACCUCCUUGAAAUUUUGCAGUUUUUUUAGUAAAAAGUUUACAAGCAGCAUCGCAUCUAGGUGUGUUGUAUGUUCCUUCCGUAACAACUUGCAUUUCUACAUCUGUGAUAAAGAGGUUUGUCUAUGGCAUAUCGCUUUGUCUCUGGAACUCACGUCUCUAUGGUUUCUCGAAUGGUUAAUAGUAGUUCCUAAAUUACUAUCAGUAUUCGAACAUUGGCCCCAAGAGUUUAUUUGGCAGUGUAGUCUAGCCUUCUAUAUUAUGUGAGUUCUGAUGAUUUACAUUUUGUAAAUUCUUUUUUAAUACUACGUAGUUCAAUUGAAGUGUAAAAUAAAUAGGAACUGCAUUUUUAAAUUCUCAAUUUGUCAUCUUGGGGUCUAGCACAAAAGUGCAAAGUAUUUAAAACGUCGAUAACUUAGAAUUAUUUCCUGUGCAUUGUUGCAGUUAUCUAGUUGAAUUGGCUAUUCAAGUAGACGACUAGGCCGCUCAUAGUUUUAUAAAAUUUAAAUAAUAUGUUAAGAGAACCAAGAAAAAUACAACCGCAAUAUUAUGACUAGAUUUUUUAAAAAUAUAAUUUUAAAACGCGUUUUGUGAGUCGCCUAGGCUUCAAGUUGGUUGGCUAAUUAAACUAGAUAGCUGUGACAAACAUUUUAUCAAUUCACCAUUAAUAUAAACGGUUGUACGACAUUAUGUUUUGAUAUUGUGUGUUUGUGAAUGCAAAGGGAAUGGACUAAGCUAUGUUGGUGGUACUCUAGAAAAGGAUAUAUGAGCAUACGUCUCUUACUCAAGUACAGUCGUUGGCAGACAGGGUGUAAACUUUUCGAUCUUAUCAAAUAAACAAUAAGGUCCGAAAUACACCGUUUUUGUUGACGAUUGUACGAAAAAUUUAGAACGUAUCCUUUCUAGAUAUUAUUCAAUGUAUAAGCUCAAUCUAUUCUCUAUGAUAUGAUUGUGAAAGGCUCUUGUUAUAUAUUUAUUAUUGUGUUUAAGCGUAUUACCUACACUUUUGUUAACAAAGAUAGUAAAAUGCUCUUGAAAUAACAAAAUAUUCAGAAGCUUGCUUUUAUACUCUUUAGUAGCAAUUUCACCAACUGUUCAAUGUUAAUCCUUGAUCUAAAUUGCUAUCUCUUUCGAUUUACACAACAAUAAAAGAGAUAUUAUCAUUAUUUUAGACGAUCUUUAGAUGUAAAACUAUACACUGCUGAAAUUGCAACUAAGUCUAAAAUAUAGCCGUAAGUUGAAAAUAUGACUGAAUCUAAUUAAUAAAAAAUGAUUGAUUAAAAUUAUAAAUGUAAACUGUAAUAAUGUGAAUGAGCCUGAAAUGACUGUAUGGAAAUUUGUAAUUUAUAUUGUAUUGAAAAAUAGUGAAUACUUAUACGAAAAAUAUUUAAACUGAAUUAUUGGAAUUGUAAUAGUCUGUUAAAGUGUCCUUAUCGUCACUGGAAUUUGUAAACUUUUCUUUCCAAUAAAGUUUUUACAAAAUAAA